GCUCGCGGCGGAGGCGGCGCAAGGAGGGGCGGCGGCCGCGGGGGGCGGAGCCUGAGCCCGAGGAGGCGGAGCUGAGCCGGCGCCUGCAGGCCCUGGCGGCCGCCGAGGAGGAGGAGGAGGAGGAGGAAGCUCCAGCGGCGCGCAGAGGAGCGAGGAGGAGGAAGGGUGGGAACGUUUUCGCUGCGCUGAGCCGGGAGCAGAGCGAGGAUGAGGAGGAGGAGGAGGAGGAAGAGGAGGAAGAAAAACCAACCAAGGGCAAGAGCAGCAAGGUGG